AAAAAAAAAAAAAAAAGAAAAAAGAAAAGAAAAAAGAAAACCAAAAAACAAACUCAGAUCAAUGGCCAUCUAGCAGUUGCUCUUGUCUCCCUUCCCACAUUACUUUUAGCACCUAGUUGACUUUGUCUUGAAUUAUGAUUGGUUCUUUUAAUUUCUGCUCUAAGUUCUUUACUAACAACCCUUUACUGAGUAACAUGUGCUCUUUGUUCUUAUCACCUCAUUUGAUAUUUACCACAACUCUUUAAAGUAGUGUUGGAAGCUCCCUUUGCCAAGGAGGAAAAUUGGGCCUCAAAGAGCUCGAGUUUCUUUUAAGGACACGCAGCUGGUGAAGCAGAAGAACAAGAACAUCAGCCUGGGUCUGGUUUACUCCAAAGCUCAGUCUCUUUUCCCCAGAGCAAAUUAUUCCCAAUCAUUACUGCACAUGGAAAUCACCUUGGCAAAUCUUUAAAAAUUGUUCAUCCAUGCAGACAUUCUGAUUGAACUGGUGUGGAGUGUAACCCAGGUCUCAGGGUGUGUUAUUUGUGAAGUUGCUCAGGUGAUUCUAAGUGCAGCAUCAUUUGGGAACAACUGCCCUAGGCUAUUCGGUGCCCCUGACCCCCGCCUCUGCUAUUCAGCAUGUAGUGUGCUUAAUACAUGUUUGCACUGAAUCUUGUGUCCAAAUGCUUUUCUGGUCCACUGGAUGCCUUAUCCCUAAAUUCUAAAUUCUAAGGUUGGCAAAGAUUCAAAUGCAAAAACAAGCAAAGAAAGAAAUUACUUAUCUGGCCAAUAUGAGCCCCAAAUUCAUUUCCAAUGAAAUUUCCAAAUCCAUAUAAAGAAAUUAGGAUGCAUAGGCCAAAGUUUUAACUAAUUAAUCCUCAGUUGCUUUUUUUUGGCAAGAAAGCCUGCCUCCUUAACAUCCUCCAGCCCCUCCUCUUUUUCAUCCCUCCAGCAGCUGCAUGUUGACAUGACUUGUCCUUGCAGACUGAUCCCGAGGCAGAGCCCACCUCCUUGGGAAGAGACAUUGAGAUGUGCAGGAGAAGCAUGUAUAGUAUGUGUGCACCUUGGCAACAGUCAGGUCACACUCUGAGUCCUAGAGGGUGUUCCUGUGGCAGGCUGUCACGGCCAUGCCCUGUCUCAGAAGUCGCCAGAAAGAAAAAAUCAUCUCAUUGGAAAUGUAAUGAGCAGACUGUUCAUUCUGUAUUUGUCUUUUCAUUAGAAGAACAGCAUGGUGCCCAAAAGAAUCCUCUAAUAAUCAUUCAUAAUGUGAAUGUUAAUCCAGAAUGACAUUUUUAUGGGACCAAACAAUAUUUUGUGAUGUUCUAUUUGUGCUUUCAUGUCUCCAGCUUAUCUAUACAAGACACAGAGAUCAAUAAAUCAGACUUAAAAUUUUUAAAAACUCUCAUUGAGUCACUCACUUCUCAUGCUGCGUUUACUUUUCCCUUCUGAUAAUUUGAUAUUAUUACAGCCAGUUAUGGAAGGAAAUUUGAAAACCAGACUACCUCUUUAGAAUGUCUGUCCCAUUUAGGACUUUAUUUAUAAUUUUUAGUAUUAAAUUCUAUCAAUGAGGAAGCAUCACCUGAUAAAACUGAGCUGUGACUUUACAUGAAGUUUCUAAUGAGCAGAAUAUGCAUUCUUAUAAAAUUCUAUUAAAGCCUCUGUUUUGCUGCAUCUGAGAAGCAAAAAAACCUCAGAAGAUCUUUCAGCAUCUAUGAAGGUAAGAAAACUGUUCUUCUCAGAUGUUAUCCGGUUCAGAUAUUGGUCAUUGCUAGCCAUAAUCUAGAACACAUGAGAGGUAUGGAUGUCCUUUCUGUAUGCUGAAAGGUCUGGAUUAUUUACAUAAUUAAUUCACCAAACUUUAUCUGGAGUCCUCUCUAGGUGUCCACACAAAAACAUAGUCUAUAAUACAGAGCCAGCUCCCAUUUGCUGCCCAGUGACUCACACAGGAGUGUUCUUUUAUAAGGAUGGUUAAUGCGAAGUUAAAUAGUCUCAGUUAAAUGAUGUCCUAAGGCAGUAAUGAAGAUGCUGCAGGGUCUCCAAUGCCUGAGCGCUAAGUGAGCUGUUUAGGUGGGUGUUUCCUCGCAGAAAGCCUGAGAGUGACUGGGUCUAGGUGGUGCUGCUGUCUUUAACUGUCGAGCCUGCGUUUCUUUGAUUGUGGAAACAAGAGAGUGGGCUUGGAAUUUUAUUUCCAGGGUCAUCCCGGCUCUCAUCUGUGAGCCGGAGCCUGGCAGCCGUGUUGAACAACAUGACUCUGCUCUGUUGGCAGCAGGUGAUUAGACCAGAGUGACAAAUGUAAGGUGAGACCUCAUAAUGGAGCAAUGGAGUGAAGUCUGAAAGCUAAGAAAAUCACAUUCCUGUCCAGGCAGGGUUCCCCAGCUGCGUGCCACUGCCUGCUCCCCACCCAGCACAUCUACAAGGACCAGGAGGCCUCUGAGGCCACCAGGGCAAGGACCAAGUCUGUCUACUUCAUUUUUGCAUUCCUGGGGUUUAUCGUAGUUUCUGGCAUAUAGAAGGGGCUUAAUAAAUAUUUGUUCCAUGAAGAAAUGAAGGACCUAAGAUGUCUGGUGGGAAAUGCACAUUUCAUAUCAAAAUAAGGUCUACCCACGGCUACUGGCUGACAUGAUAUUCCCCUGUUUUCAGCCAAGUCACAAGCACAGCAUUCAGAGGUUCUGCAAACCAGACCACACCACCAGACAGGUCUAGAACACAAAUCUCUGCAAACCACGAUUGGGGUCAUGUUCCCAUGGGUUCUGAGCUGUUUGUUAAAUGUGAUUUAUGUGGUAAAAAGCACAAUACCUGAACACUUACGUCCUCCACAGCCUGCAGCUGUCAGCCAGGGACAGGUAUCCCCUGAUUGAGAAAGUUCACUUGAUGCAUUUUGCUUUUUCGAAAGACCUGCUUUAGUACCUGUUUUUGCUAACUAGAAGAAAUCCGAAGAGAAUUUUUGCUUUCCCAAAAAAAGGUGAAGAGUGAAAAUAGCGUUCAGUGUUUGUUUUUGCAGGAGUCGUUGUGGAGGCAGCGCAUACCCUACCUAAGCAGCAAGAGGGGCCCCGCCGAGUUCCUUCGCCAGGAACUACACUCAGCGUCUCAGCACCAAGGCGCCAUCGCUUUGAACAGGGACUUCUGUGAAGGGCUGACUUGAGGAUGUCCAUCAAGCUAAUUCCAGUGGAAGCUCUGAUGGCUGAAAUCAUGUGCCUGUGCUACUCAAGGUAAAAGAGGUUUCAGAGGGUUUGGGGGCCUUAAUGUGAAAGAAUACCCGCGUGUGCUCCUCAAAUUAAAAAACUAAACAAAAUAUUUUUUUUUCUAUGUUAGAGAUCAGGUAUUUAAAAAAAAAACUUUCUAGGUUUCUUCUUACCUAAUGCUCAUGGAAGAAUCCGGAAUCAUAGACUAGUAAAUCAUAGAUUUUUCAAACUAUGAUGUGCUUGAGUUUAAACAGCAUCCAGAAUCUCAGGAAAAACCCCUCUGAUUCUCAUUCAAUAGUUCUGAAGAGAUCUUCACUUUGGAAAAUAGAGGACUAGACCCGUAAACUUUUAUCCACUCCACAAACUGAAUCGACAAAACAGGCCAGCUCACUUUGGUCAGAUUAUGAGCAAAUCUGAAUAGGAAGCAGGUGCUGACCAGCAAGAGUAGAGUCUGUUAAUUCCAAAUAUCUUCUGCUUGACUCCACUGCUCACCAGCACUGCUUUUCCAAGUGCUGGCAAGGAGAAGGUACCCAAUCAGCUGAAUAGUAAAUGUACAUGAUAUGUGUUUAAAAAAACCAAAAAACAAAAACUAAAAUAACCACAGCACAGGAGAGUGAGUGGUUUCAGAUGCAAUCUAGGGAAAAGCUAAUAUCGAGUUUAACAGAGAAAGUGGAAAAAAAUGUUAUUUGAUUUAAAUUUUAUUGCAAACUUCAGACUUAUUUUAGAGCCUGAAUACCUCUGAUGGGAACCCAUUCUGAGCACGUUCCACUGACCAGACCGCAGGCCCUUCCUGAUCCUAGUGAAGGAAGAGCCUCCCUUAGUGGUGUCCUGGCUGUGUCAUUGUGCCUGCUGGGUGCUCUUUCACACAGACCAGGGGAUGUUAGCACUGACCCAGGUGAGGACACAGAGCCCAGAAAAAAAGCCACUGAGGGAGAUGCAGGAAUCUCGCCUUCCCACAGGCCUCAGAUUCUGUCAUACGUCCCAGCCUCCACAGCCAGAAGUUAGGAGCUACUCUAGGAAGAUUCAGAACCACACAAUUUGACUGACUCGCUAGAGUGCCUACUGCAGAAGUUUCCAGUAGAAAGUGGCCAGGAGAAAGCCCCGUCUUUGUGGAGAUAAAUGCAAGGCCCCUGGCAGCUGGGUGGGAUGAAGGAGGCUGUCUCAGGGAAAAUCUGCAUCUCAUACAUACCCAUUUCGUCCAAACAUGAACAAUGAAAAAAAUACUGUCAACAAUCCAAAUUUUUGCCUACAUGAUAUCAAAUGCCCUGAAUCUAUUUUCACUAAAAUAAUCAUCUGAUGGCAAGCAGAAUUCAAAAGAAAUAGUGCAGGUUUUUAUGGGUGACUUUGGCAUUUUUCUAGGCUCAGCUAAAUACAGCAUUAAGUAUAGUUCACACAGUUUAUGAAUAAUCUAGGAAUUUCAGUGGAAAUCUGAUCUAAAACAAUGGAACUGGCAACUUAAAAAACUGAAAAAACAAGGCGGCUCCUGUUUAAUUAACACCAACCCAGAACCAAAUUCACAUCUAAGUCAGAAAAGCUAAAAUGAGCAUAAAAUAGAACCGAAAUAAAUUAAGAAAGUUAAAAAAUUAUAUAGCUUCUCAGAAAGUCCACGCCUACAGCAGUAUGCUCUGUGGCUGGUGCAUUUGGAGGCAGGGUAAAAUGGUUACAAGGCUGGAGAGACUCGGAUUCAAGUGCCUGCUCUGCCUUUUACCAACUGAAAGUCCUUAGGCAAAAUCCAUAACCUGUCUGGCAGAGCCCAGUUACCUCUCCCAUUGAAGUGGGAUAACAGCAUACCCCCCCUUAUUCAAUGCGAGAAUGAAGAUCAAGCCCAAACAUGUGGUAGGUGCUGCAGAGGCAUUUGCUCUAUUAGGAUCUAGGAAAAGAAUUGCAUUCUGAGACAGGGAUAGAAAAAGCAAAAGAUGCAAGAGUAACUUAGUAUCCUGAAGAGGCAGCAGCGAUUCAAACCAGAAUCUCCCCUUUGGGGAAAAGAAAGCAAAGUCUUUAUUUUUGUGACUAUCUACGAGGCAGUUAAAUGAUCAUUGAGCCUAACUGUUUGCUUCACUGUGCAAACUGCUUCAAUCCAAAAAAACUAGAAAAGAUGGGGAAGCAGGUUCUCUUACAUUUGAAAGCUUUCAGCUUUACCCAGGCCUUUUACUUGCCUGCCCUGGGGGAAAGGACAGAUUUUAGUGUCAGAAUGAGAAGCGCAGACUGUGGGGUCAGACCGCUGGACACCAUGUCCCCUCCGCCACCAGUGAGAUCUUGAGCUGGUCAUUCACACAUCUCAUCUGUACAACAGGGAUGACGAUAUCCCGGGCCGCUUAUCUAACCUCAAAAAAUAAGAUGCAAAUUUGGUUCUUGCUUGGUGUUGAUCAACAAGGAGCCACCCUCCUCUUAAUUUUUUUUUUUUUUUCGGUAAUCAGUUCCAAUGCACUGAUGUCACAGGGCGGCUCUAAGGAUUAAAUAAGACCAUGUGUGCAAUGGUCUUAGCCCAGUACCUGACACACAGGAGUCAAUACGUAGUUCCCAAACUGAUCCUGAUGUCAUCAUCCCCACGCCUUUCUGAGGAACCGAUAGGUAAUGGCAGAGGGGGACCCAGAUCUCUGGAACAAUCCUGUAUCAAAGCACAGGUUUCUUGGGGAGUCGGUGGAAACUUGGACCUGACAGGUAGGAUGACUCGUUAGAAGUCACAAAGCACGUGAGGAAUGCAGCAGGGCACAGCAUCUGGCCCUUUCACUCAGCAGUUAUGAAUCCAGAGGCAGCAUGUACAAACUUGCUCCGGGGCUGCAAAGCACUAGCUCAUCACACCAGGAAGGAUGUUCAACCACUUGGGGACAAACAAGAGGCUUUGAACUUCUUGUGACAUCCCCUGGUCAUCAUGCCUCUCGGUCAAUCCUGUUAAGAGCUGCUGAUGUCUGUACUGUUUUACUGCUUCCUUUGCAAUUACUUUGGAAUGAAAAACAAACUCAGAAUUUGAAUUUGAGGAUGUUUUUCCUGGUAAUGAAUUCCCUUGCUUUCUACUAAGUCUGAGAAGUUGGCUUGAGCCAAGGUGGCUGUGGGCUUCCCAUCACCUCCUCUCCACUGAGACUUGUACUCAUUCUCAUUGUGUACCAGUCUUUGCACAUGCCUUGCUAAGCCUGGAGUUCCGUGCUGACCAGGAGGGGCGAGAGGUAGAGAAAAGCACAUGUACCAAACCCACAGGUGGCAACAGCUCUGCUGGGGCUGAUGAAGCUGCCCCUUGAGUGAGUUCAGGACAGAGGAGGCGCCAUGGGCAAGAGAAGGGUGUGGUUGCAAUAAACAAAGUGCCUCUUACGCAGCCCUCAUCCACUGCUUGCCGACAGCUGAGCCAGUGGGGAUGAAUUCUUGCUUUCAAGUAUUUGGCAACUUCUGAGCAUAUUGGAAAGAGCCAGGGAAUGUGAAGUAUGGUGAAUUUCAGAAGAGGGUUACUGUAAAGCCUGGAACCCUCUUCUGUAGGCACAGAGGUGGGGCCUAAAGGGGGAAGAGACACUGCAAAGCUGUCCUCUCAGCAUCAGGAGCACAGGAAAGAUGCAGGGUUGAUACACAUUGUGGGCAUUAACCCAAGAACUAGAGUUCUGUCCAGGCUGAAGAAUUUUGCUACAUAUGUUGACUUGUUAUUAUGUACAUUCUUGCUGGGUUCCCGUGUCUCCAGAAUCUGACAUUAUCAACCUGUUUUUCCAGGUGCUUAGGAGAACUCUGUGCAUUUUCGAUGUGAAUUAUAAGGAACCUGAGCUUUAAAUCUGAAGGCAGCACGCUGCACUUUCAGGACUGGUGGGCUGAAAAUACAGAACUGCAUUUAAACUGCAGACUGCUGAUUGUUAGAAGAAUUGGGUGCUGUGAAUAAAGUGUUU